AUUGAACGCUGGCGGCAUGCCUUACACAUGCAAGUCGAACGGCAGCACGGGUGCUGCACCUGGUGGCGAGUGGCGAACGGGUGAGUAAUACAUCGGAACGUACCUUAUCGUGGGGGAUAACGCAGCGAAAGCUGUGCUAAUACCGCAUACGCCCUGAGGGGGAAAGCGGGGGAUCGAAAGACCCCGCGCGAUUAGAGCGGCCGAUGCCUGAUUAGCUUGUUGGUGGGGUAGAAGCCCACCAAGGCGACGAUCAGUAGCUGGUCUGAGAGGACGAUCAGCCAGACUGGGACUGAGACACGGCCCAGACUCCUACGGGAGGCAGCAGUGGGGAAUUUUGGACAAUGGGGGCAACCCUGAUCCAGCAAUGCCGCGUGAGUGAAGAAGGCCUUCGGGUUGUAAAGCUCUUUUGUCAGGGAAGAAACACCGGCUCUAACACAGUCCGGGAAUGACGGUACCUGAAGAAUAAGCACCGGCUAACUACGUGCCAGCAGCCGCGGUAA
rnacentral:rRNA from 1 species